UACAGAGGUCUCAAGCGUUGUUCGGAUUCAUUGGGCGUAAAGGGUGCGUAGGUGGCGCUGUAAGUCGGGUGUGAAAUUUCGGAGCUUAACUCCGAAACUGCAUUCGAUACUGCGGUGCUUGAGGACUGGAGAGGAGACUGGAAUUCAUGGUGUAGCAGUGAAAUGCGUAGAGAUCAUGAGGAAGACCAGUGGCGAAGGCGGGUCUCUGGACAGUUCCUGACACUGAGGCACGAAGGCCAGGGGAGAAAACGGG
rnacentral:rRNA from 1 species